AGUGCAAGGCCACAAUCUGCUGUCAGGUUUUAGGCAUUUAAUAAACAGCAAGAAUUCCUUGGCAUCACUAAAAGCCAGACUGCAAACAAAGAACCUGCCACGGGACAAGCCCAGCGGAGGGUAACUCCAAGAGCUGGGAUUGUAAAUGGAUAUGGCACAACAAAAAAGUGCACGGGCACAGCCCCCAAUAACCCAAUUAAUCAAGAAUUAUUUCUAUUUCCCACUAAAGAGUUUUAUCCUCCUGUAAUUCGUAAUCCUCAGUGUACACUACAGUUCGUUUUUGGAAACAGCAAUGUGACGUCUCCUAGGUUUUCCUGCUCUCCAGAGGCACGGAGGGGCACACAGCUGUAAUUUGGGCACAGUGGAAGGAAAUCAGCCCCGCCACUCUGCUGUCAAUGCCACCACAAUGCAGACAUUCAUCUUUUUAAAGCUUAAGAUCCAGCAGGACGUAGGCCAAGAAGGCGACGAAGGUGCCGGCGAGUAGCACCCCGAGCACGAUGGCGGCCACGAGCUCUGGGGACGCCGGGGCUGCUGCAGCCUCCCCGACGGCAGCGCUGACAGAUGCUGAGAACACCUCCUCCAGCCCCAGCUCAAGAGAUUUCAUCCUGGAUGGGACCAGUGGCCCACUUAAUCCAUCAUUCUGGUAGCAGUCAGCACAGCUGCUUCCAAGGAAGAUUUCCAUUUCAUUUUUACCAACAAGAACUGGUCCAUAAUAGCGUCAUCACAAACUAAUUUUUCCCACCUUCAGAGUGAUUUUCCUUCAUGAGCACAGGACUCAAUCUUUCCAAAGUAAAUAUAUGUUUAUGUGUAGCCAAAUAAAAGAUCUUCCAUCUUUGUUAACAUGC